ensembl:lncRNA PPM1K-DT PPM1K divergent transcript
GGGGGUUUCGCUUCGGGCUAAGGGACUGUAGUUGUGACAGCCAGGAAACCGAGAACGGAAUGCCAAUACUGCUUAGGCUUAGAGUUUGAAAGGCAUCUGAUUUCACUGCCAUGUCUUUGAACAGCAGUGCACAGUGCAGUCUUCUUCGUGGCUGAACAGAGCUAAGGUCUUGCUAUGUUGCCUAGACUGGUUUUGAACUCCUGGGCUGAAGCAAUCCUCCCACUUCGGCCUCUCAAAGUGCUGGGAUAUCAGACAUGAGCCACCUGCCAUGCUUGGCCUAUCUGCCUAGGAAUAGCCAGGCAACCAGCUGCUACUUUGAGCACCCGGCUAAAAUAAGCAGAGACAACUGGAAGGCUUGAUGUGAAAAAGAGCUGUUGAAGUGUACACAAGCAAGCUGACUGCCUUAUGACUAAUACUUGACAGAACCCAGCAAGAGGAUAUGAGAUUGCAGAUGGAUGACCUCAAUCCUGAACAGAAAGGCGUGCAUGAUAAUGGAGAGAAAAAAGCCAAUGGGGAAAAAAAACCCACCACUAUUUUUUUAAUAGCCUAACACACACACAAAAAACUGGUUUUCCUUUUUCUGUAAUGUGUCUGUAGAGCUGGCUAUUCUGAUUAAAGUUGCCCUUGAAAAAGCAAUUAA